rnacentral:lncRNA from 10 species
GCUUUACACACCAGACACCAGGGAAUUCUGGGCAGACUGGGCCAAGACCCAUCUUGGAAGAGCCAAAGGAGCCAGGGAAGCCACAAGCCCUCAGGAAGCCCCUUAUUCUGGGAACCACAUUUCUGCUGAGAUGAGUCCAUCCCCAUGAAGAGCUGCCGGACCUUGUCUGACCCAGCCUUAUGGAAGAUUGGGUGGGUCUCUUCCCAAGCAGAGGGAGCCUCAGGAAGUCCAGACUGAGGCUACAGUGGGCCCUGCUCAAGCCACCAGCCCCGAGGUUGGAAAGGCCAGGUCCUCCCACACCUGCUGUUCCCACAGACUUCCUUCAUGCUCAUCCUGUGGCUCUGGGAUGUCUACCUACUGGGAGGAGUUCCUUCAGGACACACUGUCCUAGGCCUGGGCCCUGGAGGAGGACAUGGUGAUGAGGCACCCUGAGGCCUCCAUGGGGGAACUGAGAAGCAUGCACUGUGACCUGCACACCCAGGUGGGCUUCAGCACCAAGUCUCCUCCUGUGUCACCCUGCGGGGCAGUAAAUAGUGGGAAGUGCCCAGACCUCACCAGCCCUGCUCCCUGGGCCUUCCUCCAGCCCCUCCUCUCCCUCCUCCUCUAAGAAGCUUCUGAAACCAGGCUGCCUGAGCCUAGGGCAAAAGCUGACCUUGGGUUUACUGGACAUGCCUCAGAGACAAUGAGACGUGAGCAAGACUCUUCCAAGCCCCUCCC